rnacentral:lncRNA from 1 species
CCAGAACUCUAAAAACUGGCUGCUGUAAGCAUAAAGCAUUAAUCUUCCAAGAUGAUCAGCAGUUAAGGGUCUCUGUAUCCCACAGCAGAGCACAUCUGGAUGAAGCCCUACCAGAACAAUGGUGGUACUGCACUGUAAUUACAUGAAAGCAUUAUCUACUUCUCAACAUACAACCCCACAGCAGAUGUGCAGUCAUUCACUUUGAAAACGCUCCUGUAGGACUGCAAGUAUUCCAUGACAGAGCAUGACUUUUUGGGAGAACCUAUUCCUGCCUGCAGGAACCCACCAGCUUUCAGUCUGGCUUGAGAUCGAUGGUGAAGUGCACACAGGGCACCAGGAAAACCUCAUUCUGCAACAAAUACACCUUGGGAGAGAUCAUCACGUAUCCUGCCUUUUAGCUACAGGAGAAAAGCAGUUUUAU